AGCGAACGCUGGCGGCAGGCUUAACACAUGCAAGUCGAACGGGCAUCUUCGGAUGUCAGUGGCAGACGGGAGAGUAACACGUGGGAACGUACCCUUCGGUUCGGAAUAACUCAGGGAAACUUGAGCUAAUACCGGAUACGCCCUUUUGGGGAAAGGUUUACUGCCGAAGGAUCGGCCCGCGUCUGAUUAGCUUGUUGGUGGGGUAACGGCCUACCAAGGCGACGAUCAGUAGCUGGUCUGAGAGGAUGAUCAGCCACACUGGGACUGAGACACGGCCCAGACUCCUACGGGAGGCAGCAGUGGGGAAUAUUGGACAAUGGGCGCAAGCCUGAUCCAGCCACGCCGCGUGAGUGAUGAAGGCCUUAGGGUUGUAAAGCUCUUUUGUCCGGGACGAUAAUGACGGUACCGGAAGAAUAAGCCCCGGCUAACUUCGUG
rnacentral:rRNA from 1 species